UACGGAGGAUGCAAGCGUUAUCCGGAAUUAUUGGGCGUAAAGCGUCCGCAGGUGGCUGUGUAAGUCUGCUGUUAAAGAGUGAGGCUCAACCUCAUAAAGGCAGUGGAAACUACAUGGCUAGAGUGCGUUCGGGGCAGAGGGAAUUCCUGGUGUAGCGGUGAAAUGCGUAGAGAUCAGGAAGAACACCGGUGGCGAAAGCGCUCUGCUAGGCCGCAACUGACACUGAGGGACGAAAGCUAGGGGAGCGAAUGGG
rnacentral:rRNA from 1 species